rnacentral:rRNA from 1 species
GAUGAACGCUGGCGGCGUGCCUAAUACAUGCAAGUCGAGCGAACGGACGAGAAGCUUGCUUCUUUGAUGUUAGCGGCGGACGGGUGAGUAACACGUGGAUAACCUACCUAUAAGACUGGGAUAACUUCGGGAAACCGGAGCUAAUACCGGAUAAUAUUUUGAACCGCAUGGUUCAAAAGUGAAAGACGGUCUUGCUGUCACUUAUAGAUGGAUCCGCGCUGCAUUAGCUAGUUGGUAAGGUAACGGCUUACCAAGGCAACGAUGCAUAGCCGGCCUGAGAGGGUGAUCGGCCACACUGGAACUGAGACACGGUCCAGACUCCUACGGGAGGCAGCAGUAGGGAAUCUUCCGCAAUGGGCGAAAGCCUGACGGAGCAACGCCGCGUGAGUGAUGAAGGUCUUCGGAUCGUAAAACUCUGUUAUUAGGGAAGAACAUAUGUGUAAGUAACUGUGCACAUCUUGACGGUACCUAAUCAGAAAGCCACGGCUAACUACGUG